rnacentral:rRNA from 1 species
AACACUUAUCGGUGGAUCACUCGGCUCGUGCGUUGAUGAAGAACGCAGCUAGCUGCGAGAACUAAUGUGAAUUGCAGGACACAUUGAUCAUCGACACGGUUCCUCCUGGGGAACCCAGGUUCCUCCUGGGGCUACGUCUGUCUGAGGGUCG